UGUUUGUGAAAAAUGCAAAAAACUAGAUUGAAUGCUAAUUUUGGCUAUUGUUUGUGACUAAGUGGCUACUAAAAAAGACUGGACAUACCCCAUAUUGAAUACCCUGGAUUCACUACUUUUGCAAAUGGUAUGCCAUCAUGAGGGUAAUUCUCAUUCCUGGGCUACCAUACGGUCUCAAAGGCAACAUAACCAAUCGGCAAGUUUCAACGUGAAAAAAAGGAGAUUUUGAAAACACCAUAAAACCUGUACACAGGGUACGGUUAUACUCUGGAGAAUUCGCUGAACACAAAUAGGAGUGUUUUAAAAUAGUAAAAUGUAUCACAGCAAUUACAGUGGGAUCUCGGUUUAUGAAUUUAAUGCGUUCUCUGGGACGUUUCUUAUUGUGAAAUAUUUGUAAACCGAAACACGGUGUCCCAUAGGAAUGCAUUGAAAACCAAUUAAUCUGUUCUGGAGGUCAGAAAAAAGUCAAAAUGAGCUGACAUGGAAACCAACCCACAAUGCCGAACACACAGUAAAAGGCAUGCAAACAACGAAGCUCAGCUCCCUAACUUUCCACAGCUUGAGAAAUGCACCAAAAAGUCCCAAAACAACUGCAAACAAUUUCCAGAAUGGCUCCAAAACUCGAUGCAAAAGCCGCUCCAACACUUCCACAGUCGACGCCACGUGCUACCCACAGGCUCCAGCAUGCAGGGGGCGGCG